rnacentral:rRNA from 1 species
ACGGAGGGGGCUAGCGUUGUUCGGAAUUACUGGGCGUAAAGCGCACGUAGGCGGCUUUGCAAGUUAGAGGUGAAAGCCCGGAGCUCAACUCCGGAAUUGCCUUUAAAACUGCAUCGCUAGAAUUGUGGAGAGGUGAGUGGAAUUCCGAGUGUAGAGGUGAAAUUCGUAGAUAUUCGGAAGAACACCAGUGGCGAAGGCGACUCACUGGACAGUUUCUGACGCUGCAGCGCGAAAGCGUGGGGAUCAAACAGGA